UACGUAGGUGGCAAGCGUUGUCCGGAUUUACUGGGCGUAAAGAGCGCGCAGGCGGUCGUUCAAGUCGCGUGUGAAAGCCCCCGGCUCAACUGGGGAGGGUCAUUCGAAACUGGUCGACUCGAAGGCAGGAGAGGGUAGUGGAAUUCCCGGUGUAGUGGUGAAAUGCGUAGAUAUCGGGAGGAACACCAGUGGCGAAGGCGACUACCUGGCCUGUUCUUGACGCUGAGGCGCGAAAGCUAGGGUAGCAAACGGG
rnacentral:rRNA from 1 species